UAUGAACAUGAACUUUAUGCUGUUGUCUAUUAUCUGCUCCUUCCCUUGUAUCAGCAGCUGUCUAAAAGCAAGGAGCACAGAAAAGCCAAUUUCUCUUUACUGUAAAAAACAAAUAUAGAACGGCUUCUUUCGGGGUGCGGCUGCAAGUCACAGAUUCAGCCGAUCUCCGCGACUUCCUGGCGGUGGGAUCUUCGGGACAGUCACCGCCUCUACCAAGCCGCUGCCUGCGUUGAUCUCUACCCCUCUUUCGCCGUCCCCCUCCUCUGGAGGCAAUAAAACCACGACUGGGAAAGCAAAAAGAGAAAGCAAGCCAGCAAGGAAAGACUUUUCUAACAGACAGAGCUCCUUAUCGACAACAAGAAGAUGCGCGCCGUGCUGCUGUCGCCCCCCUCUCCACCCUGACCCCUCAGCUGUUCUGGACCACAAGAGAAGAGCUCUCUCAGACAUUUCACUGGGUGAAAAUGAGAGCAACUGUGGAUGUUAAAGCUCCUGAUUGCAGCUGUCUCACCUGCAAAACCACAUUUAACCUAGUCAUUACAGGUAAAUCAAUGGUGUAUAUUGUUAUGAUACAUAAAGUGAUUGGGAUUCUAUUUCCCAUGUUUCAAUCAUGCCUAACGUCUGACUUUAUAUUUAUUACUGUCAAUGCUGUAUGCUGUGUGGAGCUGCAGUCUGGCUUUGUAGUUAAAAAUUGUGAGCUUUGUUAAAAUAGGUUUAAUCUUAUGUUUUGCAAAAAGUUGUGGUUGGUAGCUUGUUGCAUCAUUAGAAAGCAAGCCUUCAUAUCAUAAGUCCAUAUCAUAAGUUUGUUUUGAUGAAAAUAGUAAACAAUAGAGCAUGAAUGCUAAACACCUUAAAGACACUGUGCAGUGCACAGCAAAGCUUUUCUUGCAGCUUUGCAGGCCUACAUGGCUUUUCAAAUCCAGUUUAUUUCUGAUCUGUAGAACCUUUUUCAAUUGAACUUGCCAAGACUAUUUCAAUUUUUCAUUGUCGUUCUUUCUAAUUUCAAAACAUAAACCAAUGCCUAAUCAUCUGGAUUAAUAUCAUAUAGUGGAAGUAAAAGACAUGAAAGUGACAAGUGCAAAGUUUUCCUUCUUUUCUGUGUGGUGUCUCUUUUGUCACACUCUUAUCCAGUUCCUAUGAAUGAUCUGAUUCAUAGGAACAUCUUCCAAGCAUCUCACAUCACCUGCACUGCAGUGAAACCAAAAAGCAAUUAAAGAUCUGAAUUCAUAUAGCUUUUGCAGGAACUCUCAGAAGCUUGUAUAACUCUUAAGAGCAUAACAUUUGAACUAAAAAAUGUACUGAUGAAUAAAAAAACAGCUGAGCAAUAGUAACAGUUUUUUUUUAUCAAGAAAGUAAGAGUUUUACAAAUAGAGUAAAGAUAAAAAGAAUGGUGAGUGUUCUUUUUUUGUUUUGAGGUGAUUAGGGAUAUUAUAACCAAUUAAGGAGAUUUGAGCUGGUGCUGAUCAAUGCAACAGUAUGGCAGUAUAGGGACAUUUUGAGAGUUUGUUGCA